rnacentral:rRNA from 1 species
AAUAGAUACCCAGGUAGUCCACGCUGUAAACGAUGUCAACUAGCUGUUGGUCAUAUUGAAAUGAUUAGUGGCGCAGCAAACGCGAUAAGUUGACCGCCUGGGGGAGUACGGUCGCAAGAUUAAAACUCAAAGGAAUUGACGGGGGGCCCGCACAAGCGGUGGAGCAUGUGGUUUAAUUCGAUGCAACGCGAAGAACCUUACCUACCCUUGACAUACAGAGAAUUCUGCAGAGAUGUGGGAGUGCCUUCGGGAACUCUGCUACAGGUGCUGCAUGGCUGUCGUCAGCUCGUGUCGUGAGAUGUUGGGUUAAGUCCCGUAACGAGCGCAACCCUUAUUAUUAGUUACCAGCACGUGAAGGCGGGGACUCUAAUGAGACUGCCGGUGACAAACCGGAGGAAGGCGGGGACGACGUCAAGUCAUCAUGGCCCUUACGGGUAGGGCUACACACGUGCUACAAUGGGUGAUACAGAGGGCAGCGAAGGGGCGACCUGGAGCGAAUCUUAUAAAGUCACUCGCAGUCCGGAGUUG